rnacentral:rRNA from 1 species
AUCAAACGCUGGCGGCGUGCAUAACACAUGCAAGUCUAACGGGAAUGUCGGCUUCGGCUGACUAGUACCGUUGCGAACGGGUGAGUAACACGUGGGUAAUCUAACCUCGAGUUUGGGAUAACCUUGCGAAAGCGGGGCUAAUACCGAAUAAGAACACGCCUUGUUUGCAGGGAGUGGUAAAAGGUGGCCUCUUCACGAAAGCUAUCACUUGAGGAUGAGCCCGCGGCCUAUUAGCUAGUUGGUGGGGUAAUGGCCUAACAAGGUGACGAUGGGUAGCCGGCCUGAGAGGGUGUACGGCCACACUGGCACUGAGAUACGGGCCAGACUCCUACGGGAGGCAGCAGUGGGGAAUUUUGCGCAAUGGGGAAACCCUGACGCAGCAACGCCGCGUGAGUGAUGAAGGCCUUCGGGUCGUAAAGCUCUUUUAGUGGGGAAGAAUACCUUUUGGGCUAAUAUCCCGGGAGGAUGACGGUACCCACAGAAAAAGUUCCGGCUAACUACGUGCCAGCAGCCGCGGUAA